rnacentral:misc_RNA from 1 species
GUUCUAAUGUUGGUCACAAACUCAUUAAAGCAAGAUCUCAAUCACUCAAACCAGUAUAUUGUAGGGCUUGCUCUUUGUGCUUUGGGAAAUAUCUGUUCGGCAGAAAUGGCUCCUGAUCUUGCACCCGAAGUGGAAAGAUUGCUGCCAUUUCGGGGUCCAAACAUUCGAAAAACAUUCGAAAAAAGGCUGCAUUGUGCUCCAUACGGAUUGUAAAGAAAGUCCCUGAUCUGGCAGAAAAUUUCAUAAAUCCAGCUGCUACCUUACUUAGAGAGAAGCAUCAUGGAGUCUUAAUAACAGGCAU